rnacentral:rRNA from 1 species
UACAGAGGGUGCGAGCGUUGUUCGGAAUUAUUGGGCGUAAAGGGCGCGUAGGCGGCGGGGUAAGUCUGGUGUGAAAUCUCGGAGCUCAACUCCGAAAUUGCACUGGAUACUGCUCUGCUAGAGGGCUGGAGAGGAGAUCGGAAUUCACGGUGUAGCAGUGAAAUGCGUAGAUAUCGUGAGGAAGACCAGUGGCGAAGGCGGAUCUCUGGACAGCUCCUGACGCUGAGGCGCGAAGGCUAGGGGAGCAAACGGG